rnacentral:rRNA from 1 species
AUUGAACGCUGGCGGCAGGCCUAACACAUGCAAGUCGAGCGGACGGCGGACGGGUGAGUAAUGCCAAGGAAUCUGCCUGGUAGUGGGGGAUAACGUCAGGAAACGGACGCUAAUACCGCAUACCAUCGGAUGUGCCCAGAUGGGAUUAGCUUGUAGGUGAGGUAGCGUCUCACCUAGGCUACGAUCCCUAGCUGGUCCGAGAGGAUGACCAGCCACACUGGAACUGAGACACGGUCCAGACUCCUACGGGAGGCAGCAGUGGGGAAUGUUGCACAAUGGGCGAAAGCCUGAUGCAGCCAUGCCGCGUGUAUGAAGAAGGCCUUCGGGUUGUAAAGUACUUUCAGCGGAGAGGCGUUACCCGCAGAAGAAGCACCGGCUAACUCCGUGCCAGCAGCCGCGGUAAUAC